UGUUUGGAAAAAAAACGAAAUCUUUUGGUCCAGUGUAGAGGGCGUAGUCAGAAGAAAACGGCAACCAAUAGAAGUAAUACUCAUCAUCACUUCUAUUGGUUUCUGACACGUCCAUCAACCGCCAGCACUCACCCCUCCUCCCUGCGCGUUCACCGACUCGUGAACUUGACCGACCCCGCCCCCAUCAUUCAUGCACACGCGACAAGGCUCAUCAUCACUCGGCUAGUAGCAAGGUAACGAGAGUUAGCAGCAGGCUGAGCUACUUGGAAACUUUGGUGGCUUUUGCAGAGCUACAGGAAGAACUUUGGCUUUUGGAACACUAGACUAACCAUGUCAGGUUAACAUACUCCCUUGGAUUAUCAUCGGACUCGCAAGACCAGACUCCAACACGGGCUGAAAAUUUGAAAUGGGACCUGACACUCUUGGACACAGAUGUCGGCUACGGCAGCGGCUUCAAAUACGCUUUGGUGACCAUAUUUCUAAUCGAGAGUUGUGCGAACGAGCCAGACAAACCAGCUGGGAGGAGGACGGAAGCACCCCUUCUCCAUCCGCGUUCAGUUGCUAAAUACGGAUCCACCCCGUAGUGUGGUGUUUUCCAUAGCUGUUCCUUGCUCCUGUUUCACAACAUAUCAAGGCUGCCAAGUAAAUGAAGAAUGAAUCACCGCACACUGGUCAACAGCCGACAGGGUCCUUCCACAACCACAUACUUAUGCCAGUAAAAGCCACAGCUUUUCUCCUCCAAUCCAAGAAGCCUGGACUGCAGUCACCAUCUCAACACACCAACCAAGAGAAAGGCGGAUGGCUCAAUUCAAUAUGGAAAAUUGCACAAUAAAAGUUCCAGGACAUGAAGGCUGCAUACUGUGAACGUCAACCUUCAGGGCACCGUCCUGCGCAGAAGACUUUCUACCCUAAGAGGGAUGGCUGACCGCAGACACUCACAACCAGCACAGACGCCUCCAACCUCAAACUAGGCCCUUCACAGUUGCUGAACUUACCCACCUUCCCAGAGUUUUUGUGUGGUAAUGACAACUGUAAAUAUAGUAUAAAGUAAUGUAUCUAGUGUCAUGUGUAAUACAUUGUUUAAAUUGUCCAUACAUUUCAAUGACAGUAAAUAUUGGUGGACACAAUUUGACUGUGUGGCUUUUUU